rnacentral:rRNA from 1 species
AACGAACGCUGGCGGCAGGCUUAACACAUGCAAGUCGAACGCAUCGCAAGAUGAGUGGCAGACGGGUGAGUAACGCGUGGGAAUCUACCCAUCUCUGCGGAAUAGCUCUGGGAAACUGGAAUUAAUACCGCAUACGCCCUACGGGGGAAAGAUUUAUCGGGGAUGGAUGAGCCCGCGUUGGAUUAGCUAGUUGGUGGGGUAAAGGCCUACUAAGGCGACGAUCCAUAGCUGGUCUGAGAGGAUGAUCAGCCACAUUGGGACUGAGACACGGCCCAAACUCCUACGGGAGGCAGCAGUGGGGAAUAUUGGACAAUGGGCGCAAGCCUGAUCCAGCCAUGCCGCGUGAGUGAUGAAGGCCUUAGGGUUGUAAAGCUCUUUCACCGAUGAAGAUAAUGACGGUAGUCGGAGAAGAAGCCCCGGCUAACUUCGUGCCAGCAGCCGCAGUAA